AAAGAAACAAAAUUAGUGUUGCUGUUCUGUUUGAAGUUGCUUGUAUAACUGAAUCUCUGCUUAUAUAACAUCACACAAAAUAUAAAUAUAAAAAUUAUAUAACUAAAACACAAAAGAAAAUUACAAAAAAAAAUUUAUAAAAUUAAGUAACAAAAUUAAAAAAAAAAAAAACAAAAUUCACCGAUAAAACAACAAUAAUUCAAAAAGAAAAAUUUUAGAAACAAAAAGAGGAAUUCAAUCAAAAUAACGAAAAAAAAAAUUAAAAAAAAAAACUUUGAUAUAAAAAUUUUUUUUUUUUUGUUUUUAGCAAUUAUUUAAAAAAAAAAUCUGUGAAAACAAAAAACAAAAACAAUUUUAAUUUUUUAUACACUUUUAUUUUUUUUUCUUUGAACUGAAAUUUAAGAAAUAUUAAAAAAGAAGAUGCAAACAAAAAU